rnacentral:rRNA from 1 species
CACCAGGUUGAUUCUGCCUGACGUAGAUGCUAGUCUCUAAGAUUAAGCCAUGCAUGUCUAUGUAAUAAGGACGAACAGCUCAGUACAACUGCGAUGAUUUAGUCUGUYUGAGAGCGAUAACUACGUGAAAAUGUAGCUAAGAGAGAACAGAAUAAGACGYAGGACUAUCAGUUAGUUGGUAGUGUAAUGGACUACCAAGACGAUGACGGGUAACGGGGAAUCAGGGUUUGAUACCGGAGAGGGAGCCUGAGAGAUAGCUCCCACGUCCAUGGACGGCAGCAGGCGCGAAAAUUGCCCACUSUUGUAGGAGGCAGUUAUGAGACGUGAAGAUGAAUGUUUGGCAAAGAGGAAUAGGAGAAUUGGAGGGCAAGUUUGGUGCCAGCCGCCGCGGUAAUACCGACUCCAAGAGUGUGUGUGAGAGAUGCUGCAGUUAAAAAGUCCGUAGUC